AUACGGAGGGGGCUAGCGUUGUUCGGAAUUACUGGGCGUAAAGCGCGCGUAGGCGGAUCAGUCAGUCAGGGGUGGAAGCCCGAGGCUCAACCUCGGAACUGCCCUUGAUACUGCUGGUCUUGAGUCCGAGAGAGGUGAGUGGAACUCCUAGUGUAGAGGUGAAAUUCGUAGAUAUUAGGAAGAACACCAGUGGCGAAGGCGGCUCACUGGCUCGGUACUGACGCUGAGGCGCGAAAGCGUGGGGAGCAAACAGGAUUAGAAACCCCAGUAGUCC
rnacentral:rRNA from 1 species